rnacentral:rRNA from 1 species
AAUCUUUCGCAAUGGGCGAAAGCCUGACGCAGCCAUGCCGCGUGAAUGAAGAAGGUCUUAGGAUUGUAAAAUUCUUUCACCGGGGACGAUAAUGACGGUCCUGGGAGAAGAAGCGCCGGCGAACUUCGUGCCAGCAGCCGCGGUAAUACGACGGGGGCUAGCGUUGCUCGGAAUUACUGGGCGUAAAGGGCGCGUAGGCGGACAUUUAAGUCAGGGGUGAAAUCCCAGAGCUCCACUCUGGAACUGCCUUUGAUACUGGGUGUCUUGAGUGUGAGAGAGGUAUGUGGAACUCCGAGUGUAGAGGUGAAAUUCGUAGAUAUUCGGAAGAACACCAGUGGCGAAGGCGACAUACUGGCUCAUUACUGACGCUGAGGCGCGAAAGCGUGGGGAGCAAACAG